AUGGAAGUAACCCACAGCCAGUUUUCUUCAUAUGUGGCAUGGUACAAACAAUAUGAGAAUUCACGGCACGGUUCUGAGGCAGUACCAGCGAUGGUCAAAAUACCUUACAGGAUGAUGUUGGAUGUUCUUUUAGAGACUCUGGGCCUUCCACCAGCUGAGUACCGAACCAGAGUAUAUGAUGGCAGCAGGGUGUGUGUGACAAUAUUGUUCCAUACACCCACAUCAUAUGUUGGGAAUGAUAGGAAUCGAAUGGCUAUUCCCGAGGUACAAUUUGUUGAUCAUUCUAUGUCAGAAGACAGUGCUGCUAUGGAAGCAAUUGGGUACAUUAAAUGCACAGUGAAGACAGAGAUAAGAGACUAUAAUUACAGCACCAUGAAGAAACUCGAGGAGGAAAAUCGGUCUCUAAAACAUGAGCUUAAUAUAGCUAGGUACAACAAGAAGAAAAUGAAGACAAAAAUCAGAUCCAUCAAGAACAAGCUAAUGAUUGCUACAUAUGAGAAGAAGCAAAAUGCUAUGGGCUGGUUCGUCUUAACAAGCACACAUGGGAUCAAGGGCCUCUACGCCAUUUGGCGCAACGGGUCAACUGGAGCAUACCCGACCCGACCCAACCAAGCAGCUGAGCAUCCGCUUCUCCUCUCUCGCUCGAUUCGAUUCGAUUCGAGUGCCCCAACCCAAACCGGCCGGCCGCCGCCGCCGCCGCCGAUCUCCUCUCCCCCAACCCUACCGGCGACCUCGUCUCCUCCAGCCCUCCACCACACCACACCGCCCUCUCCUCCUCCCGACUCCUUCUCUUCUCUCCCCUUCCCUUCCCUUCCCAGGGAGAGGGAGGGAUGCCCCAGAUCCACCUCCGCAGCAGCUCGGGCCGCGGCAACCACGCGCCGGCAGAGGACGACUACUCCCACCGCCACCGCGUCCUCCGCCUUCCAACCCCAUGGCCGCCCGCCCCGUCCAACCUCCAUGGCUGUCCCGAAACCCUAGCCCGUGGCCAUGGCGCCCGAGCUCACUAUCCUUCUCCGACAAGCAGACCAGCAGGUGCGGCGCAAGGCCGAGCACGCCGAUCGAUGCAGCGCACAUCAGCAGGACCACGACGCCAUGAGGGUGCAGGAGGUGACCACGCCAAACAGCCGGCCUUCAGGCUUCUGAGAAUUUGAUGGCUGCGACCCGCGAGGCCGAGCACGCCGAUGCAGCGCACAUCAGCAGGACCACGACGCCACGAGGGUACAGGAGGCGACAGCCGGUGUCCAGGACCAAGAAGAAAUUUCUUGAACUGAAACUUUCUAGUCUGGCAGGUGAAGGUGAAGCGUUUCUCGCCAGGUUAGCAACCACUGCUAGAAGGAUCAGAAUGGUGUUCUGUACUGACCUCCAUUUUGCCACUGAAAAUCGCUAGGCCGUGCAUGAGGAGACGGUCGUCAAGGGCCUGGACGGAGAUGCUUCCUCCGUCUGCUGCUGGUAGGCCAUGGAGCUUCCGAGCCUAUCAGGAAGGAGGAAGGGCUAAGAUCUACCCUACGGGAGGAAGGAAGGAGGAAGAGGCCAUUGGCGACGGAGAAAUCCCCGUCAUCGGCUGCUCCUCCAAGUCCCAAGGGAUGGAGGAGGUCCAUCAUUAUCUACCACAACAAUGAUCAGGGGCUUGCUGAUCACAAAAGGUCAACUUGGAGCUCCUCUCUAACCUUGCAGGAAUUAUGAUGACAAGUACACUGAGGCGGCACAAGGGUUCUGGAGAGGGGCUUGCGGACCACAAGGACCGACUUGGAGCUCCUCUCUGCCCUCGCAGGCAUUACGAUGACGAGGCCGCCGAGGCAGCGCAAAGGUUUUGGAACUGUCUGUGUGUUCUCAUGCAAGAAAGCAUACCAAGCUAUGCAUGCUUCUCAGCUGCAGGUGUUCCCAAAUGCUGCUGACAACCAGAUGCAAGUGGGUACCCGUGUGUUGCAAGGUGAACCUGAGAUGGCAACAGACAGCAAGUUCCUGGGCGAGUUUGACCUCAUCGUCAUCCCGCCAGCACCAAGGGCCACACACACAGAUCGAGGUGGACACCGUCGCCUAAGACCAAGCCCACCUCCACAACCGUGCGUCGGGAGAGGAGGAAUGGCUAUUGCUUCCUCCACUGUGUUCACAUCACCCCCACCCAAGUCGGGCAAUUUGCUGUACAGGUGAAGGUGAAGCGAUUCUUGCCAGGUCAGCAACCACUACUAGAGGGAUCAGAAUGGUAUUCUGGAUUGGAGCUCCAUUGCCACUCAAAAUCACGAGUGGCCGUGCGUGAGGAGACGGUCGUCAAGGGCCUGGUUGGAGAUGCUUCCUCCGUUUGGUGCUGCUCGGCCAUGGAGCUUCUUAGCCUAUCAGGAAGGAGGAAGGACUAAGAUUUACCCUACGGAAGGAAGGAAGGAAGGAAGGAGGAAGAGGCCACCGGCAAUGGAGAAAUCCCCCAUAAUCGGCAGCUCCUCCAAGUCCCAAGGGAUGGAUGAGGUCCAUCAUUAUCUAAUUGACAAAAGAGCCCCUUGGAGGGGUACUAAGAUCACCCUUACCUCAAUGACGAUCAGGGGCUUGCUGAUCACAAGGAUCAACUUGGAGCUCCUCUCUGACCUUGCAGGAAUUACGAUGGCAAGAACGCCGAGGCGGCCCAAGAGUUCAGGAACUGCCGUGUGUUCCCAUGCGAGAGAGCAUCUGUGUUUAUCAAAGCGAAGGAAGCCUGCUGCUGAUAUCGCUGGAGGAAUACUGGAGAUGGUGGGCCUGCAGCUGACAUUGCUGGAAGUUUGAUCUUCCAGAGGGCGGAGCAAUCCCGAACGAGAAAACUGCUGGCGUGAGCAAAACAUGGAACUGCAUCUGUGUUUAUCAAAGCGAAAGAAGCUUGCUGCUGGCAUUGCUGGAGGGAUACUGGAGAUGGUCGGCAAUCAGCCGACUUUGCUGGAAUUUUGAUCUUCCACAGGGUGGAGCAAUCCCAGACGAGAAAACUGCAGGAGAUGACAGCGAAAGGGGGGAAAACCUGGAAGUAACAAGCUGGGGGUGGGAAGUUGGUUCACGCCCCUUUUAGUCGGUUGUCAAGCUGAUCGAACAAGUGCCUGGUGGUCUUGACUCGUUUUCUAUUCAACACAAGUGUUGUCUGCAACUCUGCAGGAGAGGCGCAUCGGUUCAGGAGAUCAUUGCUAAAGGGGAAAAACCUGGAAGUUGUGGUUAUUGCAGGCCGAGGGAACUCACAGCUGGUUGGCUCGGAGGCGUGCAACGACAGGCUCUUACAACAUGAUGCGGUGGCAGGUUGAGAGGAGCUUCGAGGAAUAGCAGGUUGUUUGAAUGGCAAGGUGCUGCUAUUUUACCGACCGGGAGAGGACGGAGGUGGUGGUCUAUGAGCUGCUCAUGGGGCUCAACUACCGCUGCCGCUACGAGCAGCACUCGACUGUUCCAGCAGCCUUGGCGACCAUGGCGAUUGUGUUACAACCGUUCUCAUCUGUGUUUAUCAAAGCGAAAGAAGCCUGCUGCUGGCAUUGCUGGUGGGAUACUGGAGAUGGUGGCUAAGGUGGGAAAUUGGUUCACGCCACUUUUAGUUGGUUGUCAAGCUGAUCCAGCAAGUGCCUGGUUGUCUUAGCUCGUUUUGUGUUCAACACAAGUGUUGGCUACUCCUCUGCAGGAGAGGUGCAUCGGUUUAGGAGAUCAUUGCUAAAGGGGGGGAAACUGGAAGUCGUGGUUGUUGUAGGCCAGGGAACUUGCACCUGGUGGGUUCGGAGGCGUGCAAUGACAGGCCCGUACAAAAUGAUGCGGUGGCAGGCUGAGAGGAGCUUCGAGCAGCAGCAGAUUGUUUGAACGGCAAUUUGCUGUUGCUGCAGAUGCUCUACUUUGUUGUCCGGAAGAGGACGGAGGUUGUGUUCUGCGACCUGCUCAUGGGGCCCAACUACAUUUGCUGCUACGAGCAGCACUUGACUGUUCCAGCAGCCUUGGUGACCGCGACGAUUGCAUACAACCAUUCUGCAGUGGCAUGGACCUACAGCCACAGGAGGGCGAGAAGACCGAUGGAUGGUGUGGUGUGGUGUGGAUCAUCAGUUCCAGCCCGGGCUUGAUUGAUGGGUUCUAGUGUUGCCGCCUUAGCUCGUUUUGCAUUCACAAGUGCUGCUGGCUCUUAGCUUGUGUGACUGAAGAAGGACGGACCUCGUCAUGGUGAAGCCCGAAGCCAUCGCGAGGGAUGAAGCCAUUCUCGUCGAGAUUAGUUAGUUUGUCUUAUUUUUUUCAGAGUUGGGAAUAACAAACGGAUGAUCGCUUGCUUGCUGUGUUGAUUUUUUUAGUGGAACAUGUUGCUCACAAUACUGUUUGGUAGGAUGCAUUGUAGCAGCUGCUCUUAGGGCAUCAGCAGUGUGUAGAGGCAGCCCAGCCUCUAAGCUGGGUCCCACAUAUGAGCCUCUAAUCUUAGCGUCUG
rnacentral:rRNA from 1 species